rnacentral:misc_RNA from 1 species
AAAAUUGUAAAGCUUAAAAAAUAAUAAUAAUACAACACGAAAAAGUUUUGGGAAAAUAGUCUCCCAAGACAGAUGAGAAUUCAGUCUUCAUAAUGAAACCUUCAAUUUCAAAUUGCCAUCACUCUAUUCAUUGGUUUCAUAAUUUAUAGUCAUCAAUUAGACCCUUUUUCAUAAAUCAGCUUCUAGCAAUUGGUUUUAAAACCAGAUAUUUUAAGCACCAUGCAGAAGUAUCCACCCACCAAAUACAGCCUAGUAAUUUUAAGAAAUACAAAGUAAAGCUACCUUGUUACCAACUCUUUGCCUCAUUGGUAUUUUUCUAAUCUUACAUUUG